ensembl:lncRNA
UGAUCUUGAGAGCUUCAGCCACCUAGAGCACUUGGACUACAGGUUCGACUUUUAGUUCAGAGUGGCCUUGAUAUCCCUUUGUAGUCCAAGCUGCCCUUGAAAGCACAGCGAUCCUCCUGCCUCAGCCGCCAGACUGCUUUGAUUACAGGAGUGCCAACAGAGGCUCCGUCCCAGGCUCCGGUCACGUGGGGGCGCUGGCUGCACCUGCGGAGAAGUGGAGGCCACCGAGCGGGAUCUGUGUGGAGAGCCAGAAGUGGUUGUGGACUACAUCUGUGUUGGUUUUCUGGGGCUCAGCCAUGCAGACUGAAGGAGACUGAAGGCCCUCAGAUGCCCAGAGCCUGAGGCUGCACAGUGGACUUAUUCUUAACAGAGCGGAUGCUGGGGGGACCCUGGUGUGGCACCAAAUGAAAUGAACAAAGUUCCAGAGCCCACAGGCCCCCUGCCCACCCCAUCCCCUGGACUCCCACAGCUUGGUUUUCAGCCCCAUCUGGCCUUCCC